rnacentral:rRNA from 1 species
CCUACGGGAGGCUGCAGUGGGGAAUAUUGCACAAUGGGCGCAAGCCUGAUGCAGCCAUGCCGCGUGUGUGAAGAAGGCCUUCGGGUUGUAAAGCACUUUCAGCGGGGAGGAAGGCGGUGAGGUUAAUAACCUCAUCGGUUGACGUUACCCGCAGAAGAAGCACCGGCUAACUCCGUGCCAGCAGCCGCGGUAAUACGGAGGGUGCAAGCGUUAAUCGGAAUUACUGGGCGUAAAGCGCACGCAGGCGGUCUGUCAAGUCGGAUGUGAAAUCCCCGGGCUCAACCUGGGAACUGCAUUCGAAACUGGCAGGCUAGAGUCUUGUAGAGGGGGGUAGAAUUCCAGGUGUAGCGGUGAAAUGCGUAGAGAUCUGGAGGAAUACCGGUGGCGAAGGCGGCCCCCUGGACAAAGACUGACGCUCAGGUGCGAAAGCGUGGGGAGCAAACAGGAUUAGAUACCCUUGUAGUC